UUUCGUGUAUCUAUGUUUAAGUGCUGGAUUCUUACUCCAGUGAAGUGUUCACACCGCGAAAU
rnacentral:tRNA from 1 species